rnacentral:sRNA from 1 species
GGUUUCCCUUUGCGGAUCGCCCGCCGUCGUUCUGGCAUAUUCUCUUCAAUCGUUUGCAUCCGCCGUAGAAGCUCAUCAUAAUCUUGGGGAUAUUGGGGGUAUUGAAGAAGUUCCUUGCGUAUUUCAGGCAGUACCUUGCUUCGCAAGUUAUCCAUUCUUUGUUCCUCAGUAUGCGCAGGCAUCCUGAAACCGUUGGCUUGCCAUUCGACGUCGGUUCUCCGGGUCAUUUAUCUGCAUU